rnacentral:rRNA from 1 species
AUUGAACGCUGCGGCAGGCCUAACACAUGCAAGUCGAGCGGUAACACAGGGAGCUUGCUCCCGGGUGACGAGCGGCGGACGGGUGAGUAAUGUCUGGGAAACUGCCUGAUGGAGGGGGAUAACUACUGGAAACGGUAGCUAAUACCGCAUAAUGUCGCAAGACCAAAGAGGGGGACCUUCGGGCCUCUUGCCAUCAGAUGUGCCCAGAUGGGAUUAGCUAGUAGGUGGGGUAACGGCUCACCUAGGCGACGAUCCCUAGCUGGUCUGAGAGGAUGACCAGCCACACUGGAACUGAGCCACGGUCCAGACUCCUACGGGAGGCAGCAGUGGGGAAUAUUGCACAAUGGGCGCAAGCCUGAUGCAGCCAUGCCGCGUGUAUGAAGAAGGCCUUCGGGUUGUAAAGUACUUUCAGCGGGGAGGAAGGUGUUGAGGUUAAUAACCUCAGCAAUUGACGUUACCCGCAGAAGAAGCACCGGCUAACUCCGUGCCAGCCGCCGCAGUAA